CACUGCAUGAAGGUGCGGUUCUGGAGUGGCCAUUUGGGUAUCAGUAAUGAGAGAAUUCAGGGAAGGUUGCUAGUGGAAGAGAAACGAAAAUACCUCAAAUCGCACUCUGCUCUGCCCCAGGCCAUGCUGCUGGCAUGAUGCAGGACACGGAGCUGUGCUGGAGAGCCUGAGCAGCCCCAGUGAGCGUACCAGAGGCUACUGAAGGAAGAAAGUGGAAUUCUGGGCAGUUCAGAGCUGUUGAGGAGAACCUCGCAAUGCUCAACAAUUCCCGAGCAGCCUGCUGUAAAUCUUGUAGCCAGUUCAGCUUUCAGAGGGAGCCAGAAGAGAUUUGUAGAGUUUGGCAGUAGUGUCGUUCCUGAGGAAGACUGGAGAAAGAAAACUCAGAAUCACGGCUAUGAACAGCUCUUUAGAAAUGAAUGGCUAACUCGAGGAAGUCUUGCAGUGAGCAAAUCUUUGCUUGAAAUAGUUUGGGACCAAGUGUAA
rnacentral:lncRNA from 1 species